AUACAGCGUCCUCAUUAGCGAUGUCGUGUACAGUGUCCUCAUAGGGAGCUAGAAGAACACAGAGUUAAGGUCAGUGCCCUGGUGCUGGAGACUGUGAAUCACCCAGGGGCUUGCUUGGUGUGAUGCAUGGAGGUGGCUGAUUACAGCAUGGGUCAAGCUGAUGGUGGGACAUACUCCCAGGUGGACCUGCACUAGUGAAGCUAAGGGAUGUGGCUCAGAACACUUUCUGCUGUGGGAAUCAUUUUCCAGGUUCAGAAAACACGCACAGCCAAGCCCAGAUGCCAGUCUUGUUAGCUGCCUUCCUUUACCUUCAAGAGUGGGCUGAAGCUUGUCCAAUCUUUCAAGAUUGCUGAAGACUGUAUGAUGGAAGUCAUCUGUAUUGGGAAAGAAAUUAAUGGAGAGAGGAGAAAAUUUGAGAAUCCACAGUACUCACCCUGCAGGGCCAAGAACUCUGUCUCCCAUGCAUUGCUGUCCUGUCUCAGUAUUUCCUGUGACCACCUCCUUUUUCAACUGAAGACUUUGUACCUGAAGGGGUUCCCAGGUUUUUCACCUCAGCCCUUGUCAGGACUGAUCCUCUCAACUAUUGACCAUUUCACCUCCAUUCAUGUCCAUGCCACAUCAGGCUGUGUUGUCUAGAUGGAAUGAAUCCACCCAAAAUGUCCCUUUCUGGAGGAAGCCACCAUUAUGCUGUACCUCCAAGCAUAAUGGUACAUCCACACACACCAAGGCACCUCGCUCAUGCAAGGUGUGUGUCCUCUAACAAAGUUUCACACUCUAAACCCAGAUAACUUUUCAAACCCAAGUUCUGUUGAUUCCCCUACUUUGAGUGCUCCAUAGAUGCUCAUUUGUCUACUAAACACUGCCCCAGGCAAUUAAAUAUUCCAAAGUGACCAGCAGAAUUUUUAUGUUAAUUCUGACAUUGCGUUGUUAGUACAAGUGUUUUUCCCCCUUCAAAUUUAUGUCUUUGUUACUGAUAAAUGUAACUGAUAAUGCGUUUUUCAGCUGUGUUGCCAAGCAUAUUUAUAUAAAAAUAUACUCAGAUUGUUUUCAGAAUUUGACAAAGAUGAUAGCAAUAAUGAUAAUCUUAUUUGUUUUAUACCAA
ensembl:lncRNA novel transcript